rnacentral:rRNA from 1 species
AUUGAACGCUGGCGGCAGGCCUAACACAUGCAAGUCGAACGAGUGGCGGACGGGUGAGUAAUGUCUGGGAAACUGCCUGAUGGAGGGGGAUAACUACUGGAAACGGUAGCUAAUACCGCAUACCAUCGGAUGUGCCCAGAUGGGAUUAGCUAGUAGGUGGGGUAAAGGCUCACCUAGGCGACGAUCCCUAGCUGGUCUGAGAGGAUGACCUGCCACACUUGAACUGAGACACGGUCCAGAGUCCUAAGGGAGACAGCAGUGGGGAAUAUUGCACAAUGGGCGCAAGACUGAUGCAGCCAUGCAGCGUGUAUGAAGAAGGCCUUCGGGUUGUAAAGUACAUUCGGCGGGGAGGCGUUACGCGCAGAAGAAGCACCAGCUAACUCCGUGCCAGCAGCCGCGGUGAUAC